rnacentral:snRNA from 1 species
GGAUGCAAGGGCGAUCUGGCUGUGAUGUCUGUCAUCCCACUGGCUGCUAGGGUUGAUUCAGCUAAUCUGGCUGGCUAAACAGUUGCCCCUUCCUCCUUCCCCACUCCAUGUGUGUCUCCUCCCAAAACUACACACUCGGUAGAAGAGGACAACCUUCCAGAUAGAAGGGAUGCACCAUUAUUUGGCUAAUGAUUAAGAAACAUAUCGGCAGCCCACCUAGGGCUUAACAUUCUUAACUAAAGUUGCAAGCAGUCUGAUUCUGGGCAACUCACAUGCAAUUUUGCACCUAAAAGAGACAUCUUGCUU